rnacentral:rRNA from 1 species
CCUACGGGGGGCAGCAGUCGAGAAUCAUUCACAAUGGGGGAAACCCUGAUGGUGCGACGCCGCGUGGGGGAAUGAAGGUCUUCGGAUUGUAAACCCCUGUCAUGUGGGAGCAAAUUAAAAAGAUAGUACCACAAGAGGAAGAGACGGCUAACUCUGUGCCAGCAGCCGCGGUAAUACAGAGGUCUCAAGCGUUGUCCGGAAUCACUGGGCGUAAAGCGUGCGGAGGCUGUUUCGUAAGUCGUGUGUGAAAGGGCCGGGCUCAACUCGCGGACGGCAUAUGAUACUGGGAGACUAGAGUAAUGGAGGGGGAACCGGAAUGCACGGUGGAGCAGUGAAAUGCGUAGAUAUCG